rnacentral:rRNA from 1 species
UACGGGGGGAGCAAGCGUUGUUCGGAUUUACUGGGCGUAAAGGGCGCGUAGGCGGUCAGCACAAGUCAGUUGUGAAAUCUCCGGGCUUAACUCGGAAAGGUCAACUGAUACUGUGCGACUAGAGUGCAGAAGGGGCAACUGGAAUUCUCGGUGUAGCGGUGAAAUGCGUAGAUAUCGUCAAGAACACCGAUAGUGUAGACAGCUUACUAGGCUACAACUGACGCUGAGGCACGAAAGUGUGGGGAUCAAACAGG